GUAUUCCUUCGGGGUCGGGUGAAAUUCCCAAUCGACGGUAACGAAGCAAUUCGAAGCCCGUGAGCCUUUCGGGGCAGGAUUUGGUGCAAGUCCAAAGCCGACAGUUAGAGUCUGGAUGGGAGAAGGAAGAA
rfam:Planococcus rifietoensis strain M8, complete genome.